rnacentral:rRNA from 1 species
UACGGGGGGGGCAAGCGUUGUUCGGAAUUACUGGGCGUAAAGGGCUCGUAGGCGGCCAACUAAGUCAGACGUGAAAUCCCUCGGCUUAACCGGGGAACUGCGUCUGAUACUGGUUGGCUUGAGUGUGGGAGAGGGAUGCGGAAUUCCAGGUGUAGCGGUGAAAUGCGUAGAUAUCUGGAGGAACACCGGUGGCGAAGGCGGCAUCCUGGACCGACACUGACGCUGAGGAGCGAAAGCAUGGGGAGCGAACAGG